UACGUAGGGGGCAAGCGUUGUCCGGAAUCAUUGGGCGUAAAGCGCGUGUAGGCGGCUCGGAAAGUCUGGUGUGAAAUCCUGCGGCUCAACCGCAGACUGUCACUGGAUACUGUCGAGCUUGAGUCCGGAAGAGGCGAGUGGAAUUCCUGGUGUAGCGGUGAAAUGCGCAGAUAUCAGGAGGAACACCAAUUGCGAAGGCAGCUCGCUGGGACGUUACUGACGCUGAGACGCGAAAGCGUGGGGAGCAAACAGG
rnacentral:rRNA from 1 species